rnacentral:rRNA from 1 species
AUUGAACGCUGGCGGCAGGCCUAACACAUGCACGUCGAACGAGUGGCGGACGGGUGAGUAAUGUCUGGUAAACUGCCUGAUGGAUGGGGAUAACUACUGGAAACGGUAGCUAAUACCGCAUACCAUCAGAUGUGCCCAGAUGGGAUUAGCUUGUUGGUGGGGUAACGGCUCACCAAGGCGCCGAUCCCUAGCUGGUCUGAGAGGAUGACCAUCCACACUGUAACGUGGACACGUGCCAGACGCCUACGGGAGGCAGGAGUGGGGAAUAGUGCACAAUGGGCGCAAGCCUGAUGCAGCCAUGCCGCGUGUAUGAAGAAGGCCUUCGGGUUGGAAAGUACUUGCAGCGGGGAGGCGUUACCCGCAGAAGAAGCACCGGCUAACUCCGUGCAAGCAGCCGCGGUAAUUC